UUAAAUUGAAGAGUUUGAUCAUGGCUCAGAUUGAACGCUGGCGGCAGGCCUAACACAUGCAAGUCGAACGGUAACAGGAAUCAGCUUGCUGAUUCGCUGACGAGUGGCGGACGGGUGAGUAAUGUCUGGGAAACUGCCUGAUGGAGGGGGAUAACUACUGGAAACGGUAGCUAAUACCGCAUAAUGUCGCA
rnacentral:rRNA from 1 species